AACAGGAUUAGAUACCCUGGUAGUCCACGCCGUAAACGAUGAGUGCUAAGUGUUAGAGGGUUUCCGCCCUUUAGUGCUGCAGCAAACGCAUUAAGCACUCCGCCUGGGGAGUACGGCCGCAAGGCUGAAACUCAAAGGAAUUGACGGGGGCCCGCACAAGCGGUGGAGCAUGUGGUUUAAUUCGAAGCAACGCGAAGAACCUUACCAGGUCUUGACAUCCUCUGACAACCCUAGAGAUAGGGCGUUCCCCUUCGGGGGACAGAGUGACAGGUGGUGCAUGGUUGUCGUCAGCUCGUGUCGUGAGAUGUUGGGUUAAGUCCCGCAACGAGCGCAACCCUUGAUCUUAGUUGCCAGCAUUAAGUUGGGCACUCUAAGGUGACUGCCGGUGACAAACCGGAGGAAGGUGGGGAUGACGUCAAAUCAUCAUGCCCCUUAUGACCUGGGCUACACACGUGCUACAAUGGAUGGAACAAAGGGCAGCGAAGCCACGAGGUGAAGCCAAUCCCAUAAAACCAUUCUCAGUUCGGAUUGCAGGCUGCAACUCGCCUGCAUGAAGCCGGAAUCGCUAGUAAUCGCGGAUCAGCACGCCGCGGUGAAUACGUUCCCGGGCCUUGUACACACCGCCCGUCACACCACGAGAGUUUGUAACACCCGAAGUCGGUGGGGUAACCUUUUGGAGCCAGCCGCCUAAGGUGGGACAGAUGAUUGGGGUGAAGUCGUAACAAGGUAAGCCGU
rnacentral:rRNA from 2 species